GAAAGCGUAAUAGCUCACUGGUCGAGUCGGCCUGCGCGGAAGAUGUAACGGGGCUAAACCAUGCACCGAAGCUGCGGCAGCGACACUAUGUGUUGUUGGGUAGGGGAGCGUUCUGUAAGCCUGUGAAGGUGUACUGUGAGGUAUGCUGGAGGUAUCAGAAGUGCGAAUGCUGACAUAAGUAACGAUAAAGCGGGUGAAAAGCCCGCUCGCCGGAAGACCAAGGGUUCCUGUCCAACGUUAAUCGGGGCAGGGUGAGUCGACCCCUAAGGCGAGGCCGAAAGGCGUAGUCGAUGGGAAACAGGUUAAUAUUCCUGUACUUGGUGUUACUGCGAAGGGGGGACGGAGAAGGCUAUGUUGGCCGGGCGACGGUUGUCCCGGUUUAAGCGUGUAGGCUGGUUUUCCAGGCAAAUCCGGAAAAUCAAGGCUGAGGCGUGAUGACGAGGCACUACGGUGCUGAAGCAACAAAUGCCCUGCUUCCAGGAAAAGCCUCUAAGCAUCAGGUAACAUCAAAUCGUACCCCAAACCGACACAGGUGGUCAGGUAGAGAAUACCAAGGCGCUUGAGAGA
rnacentral:rRNA from 1 species